UACGUAGGGUGCAAGCGUUGUCCGGAAUUAUUGGGCGUAAAGAGCUCGUAGGCGGUCUGUCACGUCGGCUGUGAAAUCCCGAGGCUCAACCUCGGGUCUGCAGUCGAUACGGGCAAACUAGAGUAUUGCAGGGGAGACUGGAAUUCCUGGUGUAGCGGUGAAAUGCGCAGAUAUCAGGAGGAACACCGGUGGCGAAGGCGGCCCCCUGGGCCGUACCUGACGCUGAGGCGCGAAGGCUAGGGGAGCGAACGGG
rnacentral:rRNA from 1 species